UACGAAGGGGGCUAGCGUUGCUCGGAAUCACUGGGCGUAAAGCGCACGUAGGCGGCUUUCUAAGUCAGGGGUGAAAUCCUGGAGCUCAACUCCAGAACUGCCUUUGAUACUGGAGAGCUCGAGUCCGGAAGAGGUGAGUGGAACUCCGAGUGUAGAGGUGAAAUUCGUAGAUAUUCGGAAGAACACCAGUGGCGAGGGCGGCUCACUGGUCCGGUACUGACGCUGAUGUGCGAAAGCGUGGGGAGCAAACAGG
rnacentral:rRNA from 1 species